AGCUUGCUUUUCAAAGUUAGUGGCGGACGGGUGAGUAACGCGUGGGUAACCUGCCUCAUACAGGGGGAUAGCAGCUGGAAACGGCUGAUAAAACCGCAUAAGCGCACAGCAUCGCAUGAUGCAGUGUGAAAAACUCCGGUGGUAUGAGAUGGACCCGCGUCUGAUUAGCUGGUUGGUGAGGUAACGGCCCACCAAGGCGACGAUCAGUAGCCGGCCUGAGAGGGUGACCGGCCACAUUGGGACUGAGACACGGCCCAAACUCCUACGGGAGGCAGCAGUGGGGAAUAUUGCACAAUGGGGGAAACCCUGAUGCAGCGACGCCGCGUGAAGGAAGAAGUAUCUCGGUAUGUAAACUUCUAUCAGCAGGGAAGAUAAUGACGGUACCUGACUAAGAAGCCCCGGCUAACUACGUGCCAGCAGCCGCGGUAAUACGUAGGGGGCAAGCGUUAUCCGGAUUUACUGGGUGUAAAGGGAGCGUAGGCGGCGGAGCAAGUCAGAAGUGAAAGCCCGGGGCUCAACCCCGGGACUGCAUUGGAAACUGUCAAUCUAGAGUACCGGA
rnacentral:rRNA from 1 species